rnacentral:rRNA from 1 species
AUACGAAGGGGGCUAGCGUUGUUCGGAAUUACUGGGCGUAAACCCGCGCACGUAGGCGGAUAUUUAAGUCAGGGGUGAAAUCCCGCAGCUCAACUGCGGAACUGCCUUUGAUACUGGGUAUCUCGAGUAUGGAAGAGGUGAGUGGAAUUCCGAGUGUAGAGGUGAAAUUCGUAGAUAUUCGGAGGAACACCAGUGGCGAAGGCGGCUCACUGGUCCAUUACUGACGCUGAGGUGCGAAAGCGUGGGGAGC